CUGUUUUAAUGUUGUGCAAUGCAAAGAUGACAGACGUUGCUGUUUCAUCAGUUCCACAGAAGACCAAACGUCUAUCACAAACACAGACUACAGUCCUGUGACGUCAGGAAGUCUUUGUCAUCACCUUGGAAUGCAGCAACUGACAGAAACCUUUAAAAAAUUGUUUUUUCUUCUAAAAUGGGGUUUAAGGUCUGAAAAGAGUCUACUUUGUGUCUCUGGAAUCAUUAGGAAUCAUCAGUGAGAUCCUGCUGACUGUCAAUAACACAUCACAGUGCUGCUAUGGUGUCUGUCCAGACAGAAAGGCUGCUAUGCCACCAAUGAGACCGACGAAGACGAGGACGACGACCACAACCAGUCUGUGGAUUCAGACCCUUCAGUCCCAGAAGCCCCUGGAAGCUGAAGAUGAGGCCUGAAAGGAGAGGAAGACGUGGGAAACCAGAUCCAGGACUGAAGAGAGUUGAAACAUUUGAACAAGUUUAGUGAUUCAGCUUUCACUAAUGAAGCAUCAAGUAGCAACAUAAGUUGGUUUGACAGAAAUCCCACUUCAGUAAUUGAUCAAAAAAACUUUUAGGUCCUAAAAUAAAAAAGAUCUUAAAAAGUUGUGAUGAAGGUGAUGAAGCUCCUCCCCCUGUCUCUAAGGGUUCGUCCAGCCAACCUAUGGAGGAAGCUCAUUUCAACUGCUUGUAUUCUGGACCUGGUUCUGUGGGUCAUGACCCAUAGCUCAUGACUAUAGGUGAGAAUUGGAAAAAAGAUCAAUCAGUAAAUUGAAUGAAUGAAUGAAUGGAUUAAUGGAGUCGGGGUCUCCACCUGCAGCCUGGGCUCUGGAACUCAAUCCCUCCAGACGGGUUGGAUUUUCCACAUUCUGGAGUUGCUGAAGGUGUGAGGCAGCUGUCUGGUGGGGGCUUACUCUCCAGCCCCCAUUUCAAUCAUGUGGACUUUAAUGCCCAUGGGGGGAACAACAGUGGCGGCCAGAAGGACGUGAUGUGAACGGCCUCCCUGCUCUGAACCGGAGCUGCGUUCUCUUGUUGGACCUCGUCAUGGUUUGUCCGUGAACAGACACCAUGUUUGACCCCAAAGGUGUUCAGGUCAUUACACGUGGCUCCAGGAGUCAUGGUCUACUUUGGAACUGAUGAAAGAGGAACCUCUGGAUUUGAUAUUGCACAACAUAAGACAGUGAGGAGUCUGAGAAAGAUUUAGUUUUACUGACAAAAACAGAAACUGGUUUUAAAGAAUGAACCUGAUAUCUUGACGGUUGUAAAGAGGCUUAUGAAAAAAACUAACUCCGCUCCAUCCAAUAUGGGAUGAAAUGUUCUUGGCUGUCAUGAGAUGAAGGCGUUCCCUACAGACAUGGAACAAAGUUCUAUGUGAGCCCCGCCCACUUUGAGUCUGAUUUAAGGAUGAGACUCAGCCUCAACCAGCAGAACUUCAGCUUCAGCUGCUCUGUCUGGUCCUGCUCCAGACCGUCUUCAGAGGAAACAACUUCUCCCAGAAGUCUAAGGGAAGAAACUUUUGCUCCUUUUGCAACAAGCUCAGACAUUUAGCUUCAAGUCAACGACAACAUGUCAUACCUAGCACCAGUCAAGGUUGUUGGUGGAGAAGGAGGAACCCCGUUCAGUUAUAAUGUUGCAGACACUGGAGGUCAUCUUAAACGGCUUGAUGUGUGGGUCGGACCAGACCAUGUGACAUGUAUAAUGGUCGAGAUGACUGACGGCGUUUCAAAGAUAUUUGGGACCGCAAGCAACUGCGGUGAUUCAAUGACGUCUUUCACUUUUGAGGAUAAAGAAUAUUUUUCCUCCCUCACUCUUUGGCCCAACAGUACUGGAAAUCGCCUGGGUGGCAUUAAAUUCACAACAACGAAGGGCCAAAAUUUUGAGGUUGGCGCAACGAGUGGACAGCCGCCGACUGAAGUAGAUGUUGGCUCUGGAAUAUGUUUUGGAGUUAAGGGCAGGUCAACAGAUGACACUGAACUUAAUGCAUUUGGGUUCCUGUUCAUCAAAUUUUCUGCAUGAACCCGUUCUAGAGGGCUAGAACAGAUUUUUGGAUUUGCUGUCAUUUUUCCUGCUGUACUGAGAAACUCCUGAUGAUUUUCCUGUUAUUGUCACUGGAAUCCAAUGUUUCUGUUGUCCUCAUCAUCUCUUCUGGAAAUGGCAUUCUAUCAGUAAAUCUUGUUGGUGUGGACGCUGGAAAAAGCCCUUCAGUUCAUGUCAAAUCACUGUUUGUGCUCAUCUAGUCUGUAUGAUUUGGAAAAUAAAAACCUCAACCAAA